rnacentral:rRNA from 1 species
UACGUAGGGGGCAAGCGUUGUCCGGAUUUAUUGGGCGUAAAGAGCGUGUAGGCGGUUUGGUAGGUCCGCUGUGAAAACUCGAGGCUCAACCUCGAGACGCCGGUGGAAACCAUCAGGCUAGAGUCCGGAAGAGGAGAGUGGAAUUCCGGGUGUAGCGGUGGAAUGCGUAGAGAUCCGGAAGAACACCGGUGGCGAAGGCGGUGAGCUGGGCAGUUGCUGGACACUGAGGCGCGACAGCGUGGGGAGCAA